CUCCACUUUACAGGGUUUUGUCACUUUUGGUUCAUGUCAGAUAUAAAUAAUUUAGCGGCAUCGUUAACAUAAUCAUUCUGAUAUGCGGAUCACAAAAGGCCAUCCCUACAUAGAAUACAACGUCCGUUUACAAAUUAGUUUGUACACACGUUAAUACUUUUGUAUCAAACGAACUUUUUUGUACAUGAACCCUGCUCUUUAAGUUUAAAGGUACAGAGUAACGUACUUCAUAUCAUGAUUUCAGAAAGCGUUCAACAUCGAUUUCAAACAAAUGCUUUGAAACUUCAAAUGCAAGUGUUCAUGUCAAACGCUCAGGUGAUACCAAACGGACUGGACCUUAUACGUAAAGAUAAAAACCCGAGGAUUCGGUAAAAAAGUUUUGAGCGGGAAAUACAAAUAUAAGAUUUUUGGUAGGAACGAAAAAAUAAAAUAAAAUAAAAUCUUGCUGGUAAAUACAAUUAAAAGAUUUUCAGGCGGAACGAAUUUAUAGGGUCGGUCGGUAAAGGGCAAACAAACAAUAUUUUAAUUUAAGCCCUAUCUAU
rnacentral:lncRNA from 1 species